CCUCUGCCGUGCGGGAGAGCCGUGGCGCGGGGAGAGCCGGGGCGGGGUUCGGUCUCCGCUGCGCAGAUCGUGGCGGCUGGGGCCUGCGGGCGGGCUGCUGUGGACAGCGCUGAGCCGCCUGCCGAGACUGUUGAGAGGCGCGCGACUCCCGGAGGCUUGGCCUGAGGUGGCUGCUGGGGGCUCGGUGCCUGCCUGGAGGCCGCAGGGAGAAGGCGGGCCUGGGGCUGGGGCUGGCGGCCCUCCAGCUCCGACAAGGGACCUGUGCCCGCGCACUACCAGCUAGUCUUCACCUGCGAUGUCUGUGGGACUGGGUACUCCAAGCAUAUCUCCAAGCUUGCCUAUCACCAGGGUGUGGUCAUUGUGACCUGUCCUGGCUGCCAGACCCACCACACCACCCCGGACAACCUGGGUUGGUUCUCGGACCUGGAUGGGAAGAGGAAUAUUGAAGAAAUCCUGGCAGUCAGAAGGGAGAAGAUCCAAGAGACUCAGAGAGUUUGCCGCUGUCAGGCUGUCACUGAGAGUGAGGACGGUUGGAUUGAAGGAAGAAAUGAACGAAUCCCAGAAGGAACGAGUGGAGAGUGAGACACGAGGUGGGGAAAUGGGAUACACAGGAUUGUAGCAAAGCCCCCCAGGCGAAAGCAGACUCAGUGCUCUGGGGAUAGAAGUCGAUGCGGACCCACCUUGGCUGUGCUGAGCAGGAGAAAUUCCCCGGUGAGUGACUCUCACCGAGACCUACUGCCCUGCUUCAAUUGUCUCCUAGGGAUUCAGGGACAACCCCACUGUCCUGUGAGCAGACGUCUUUCUACCCAAAUCUACAUCACACACACACAAGGCAACAUGAAUUA